AUCCUCUAGCGACACCGUCACCGAAGAGCCUUGUACGUCCAUCAGAUCUAUCACGGCUCCGGCUAAUUGCAUUAAAUUUUGCAACUGUUGUAGCCAUUCGGAACUCUCUAUUAACCUAAGGAAAACGGGUUGUAAACAGAUCAGAUAAAUCACAUUGGGCAAGUUAAACCUUGUGAAACACUUCCUACGAUAAAGUUGUAGUCGUGUACUUGAUUUAAGAUGAGGAACAAUACGAACGUUUUCUCGUCUUGUUAAAACCGCAGAGAUACUUCAAGAAUGAGAAAAUAUUAAAUAAAAUUACCUUCAUGUGGGCCUUCUCACCCAGUAUAUACAAUGCUGCCCUUUGAAAUGUAUGAACGCAUUCCGUACCGCUAUCCGAAUC